rnacentral:rRNA from 1 species
UACGAAGGGGGCUAGCGUUGUUCGGAAUUACUGGGCGUAAAGCGCGCGCAGGCGGUCUUCCAAGUCAGUGGUGAAAGCCCGGAGCUCAACUCCGGAAUUGCCAUUGAAACUGUUAGACUUGAGGAUGAGAGAGGUGAGUGGAAUUCCCAGUGUAGAGGUGAAAUUCGUAGAUAUUGGGAAGAACACCGGUGGCGAAGGCGGCUCACUGGCUCAUUACUGACGCUGAGACGCGAAAGCGUGGGGAGCGAACAGG